GUGCUUGCACUAUCACUUAGCGGCGGACGGGUGAGUAAUGCUUAGGAAUCUGCCUAUUAGUGGGGGACAACAUUUCGAAAGGAAUGCUAAUACCGCAUACGUCCUACGGGAGAAAGCAGGGGAUCUUCGGACCUUGCGCUAAUAGAUGAGCCUAAGUCGGAUUAGCUAGUUGGUGGGGUAAAGGCCUACCAAGGCGACGAUCUGUAGCGGGUCUGAGAGGAUGAUCCGCCACACUGGGACUGAGACACGGCCCAGACUCCUACGGGAGGCAGCAGUGGGGAAUAUUGGACAAUGGGCGCAAGCCUGAUCCAGCCAUGCCGCGUGUGUGAAGAAGGCCUUAUGGUUGUAAAGCACUUUAAGCGAGGAGGAGGCUACUGAAGUUAAUACCUUCAGAUAGUGGACGUUACUCGCAGAAUAAGCACCGGCUAACUCUGUGCCAGCAGCCGCGGUAAUACAGAGGGUGCAAGCGUUAAUCGGAUUUACUGGGCGUAAAGCGCGCGUAGGCGGCUAAUUAAGUCAAAUGUGAAAUCCCCGAGCUUAACUUGGGAAUUGCAUUCGAUACUGGUUAGCUAGAGUGUGGGAGAGGAUGGUAGAAUUCCAGGUGUAGCGGUGAAAUGCGUAGAGAUCUGGAGGAAUACCGAUGGCGAAGGCAGCCAUCUGGCCUAACACUGACGCUGAGGUGCGAAAGCAUGGGGAGCAAACAGGAUUAGAUACCCUGGUAGUCCAUGCCGUAAACGAUGUCUACUAGCC
rnacentral:rRNA from 1 species